rnacentral:rRNA from 1 species
ACUACGGGAGGCAGCAGUGAGGAAUAUUGGUCAAUGGGCGAGAGCCUGAACCAGCCAAGUCGCGUGAAGGACGACGGCCCUACGGGUUGUAACCUUCUUUUGUCAGGGAGCAAUUGAGUCCACGUGUGGUCUUAGGCAGAGUACCUGAAGAACAAGCAUCGGCUAACUCCGUCCCAGCAGACGCGGUAAUACGGAGGAUGCGAGCGUUAUCCGUAUUUAUUGGGUUGAAAGGGUGAGUAGGAGGAAGGUCAAGUCAGCGGUAAAAAUUCGGGGCGCAACCCCGUCGUGCGGUUGAUACUGGUGUUCUUGAGUGUGCGAGAGGUAUGCGGAAUGCGUGGUGUAGCGGUGAAAUGCAUAGAUAUCACGCAGAACUCCGAUUGCGAAUGCAGCAUACCGGCGCCCAACUGACGCUGAAGCACGAAAGCGUGGGUAUCGAACAGGAUUAGAUACCCCAGUAGUC